UCCGUGGUGGUCCAGUGGUUAGGGUUCAGUGCUUUCACUGUUGAGGGCCCGGGUUCGAUCCCUGGUUGGGGAA
rnacentral:tRNA from 1 species